CAUUGUUUGGGUUUUCUGUUGACUAACAAAAAAAUCAGUAUCUCUUCUACAGAAAAAAAUCUGAAUAAGCUGAGUGCAAUAAUACAAUCAUCAGGGCACAUUUUUAAGUUUCAAAAAACCAAACAACAAAAAACCAAAAUAAACAAGAAUGUACAACAUACUCAGAACAGCCUUCUCUAUGGCCAGCUGUAAGAAGAUUCUUCUGGGGAAAAAAUGUCUGAAACAAAAAACCUGGGCUUGUCUACAGGCAGUUGCUGUACUACCAUCAGUGCAUGUUCCUGUGUGUUUGCCUGCCUUCUACUCUGACCAAAGGUUUGAUAUUAGCAGUGUCUCACUUUGA
rnacentral:lncRNA from 12 species